rnacentral:rRNA from 1 species
UAGAGUUUGAUCCAUGGCUCAGNCCUGAACGNUUGGCGGUAGGCCUAACACAUGCAAGUCGAACGGCAGCACAGGAGAGCUUGCUCUCUGGGUGGCGAGUGGCGGACGGGUGAGGAAUACAUCGGAAUCUACUCUGUCGUGGGGGAUAACGUAGGGAAACUUACGCUAAUACCGCAUACGACCUACGGGUGAAAGCAGGGGAUCUUCGGACCUUGCGCGAUUGAAUGAGCCGAUGUCGGAUUAGCUAGUUGGCGGGGUAAAGGCCCACCAAGGCGACGAUCCGUAGCUGGUCUGAGAGGAUGAUCAGCCACACUGGAACUGAGACACGGUCCAGACUCCUACGGGAGGCAGCAGUGGGGAAUAUUGGACAAUGGGCGCAAGCCUGAUCCAGCCAUACCGCGUGGGUGAAGAAGGCCUUCGGGUUGUAAAGCCCUUUUGUUGGGAAAGAAAUCCAGCCGGCUAAUACCUGGUUGGGAUGACGGUACCCAAAGAAUAAGCACCGGCUAACUUCGUGCCAGCAGCCGCGGUAAUACGAAGGGUGCAAGCGUUAC